rnacentral:rRNA from 1 species
CCUACGGGAGGCAGCAGUGGGGAAUCUUGCACAAUGGGGGAAACCCUGAUGCAGCAACGCCGCGUGAGUGAAGAAGUAUUUCGGUAUGUAAAGCGCUAUCAGCAGGGAAGAAGAUGACGGUAACUGAGUAAGAAGCCCCGGCUAACUACGUGCCAGCAGCCGCGGUAAUACGUAGGGGGCAAGCGUUAUCCGGAUUUACUGGGUGUAAAGGGAGCGUUGACGGGGAGAAAAGUCUGAGGGGAAAGCCCGGGGCUCAACCUCGGGACUGCUUUGGAAACUGGCAAACUGGAGAGCUGGAGAGGCAAGCGGAAUUCCUAGUGUAGCGGUGAAAUGCGUAGAUAUUAGGAAGAACACCAGUGGCGAAGGCGGCUUGCUGGACAGUAACUGACGUUGAGGCUCGAAAGCGUAGGGAGCAAACAGGAUUAGAUACCCGUGUAGUC